rnacentral:rRNA from 1 species
AAACUCAAAGGAAUUGACGGGGGCCCGCACAAGCAGUGGAGUAUGUGGUUUAAUUCGAAGCAACGCGAAGAACCUUACCAGGUCUUGACAUCCAACUAACGAGGCAGAGAUGCGUCAGGUGCCCUUCGGGGAAAGUUGAGACAGGUGGUGCAUGGUUGUCGUCAGCUCGUGUCGUGAGAUGUUGGGUUAAGUCCCGCAACGAGCGCAACCCUUUGAUUAGUUGCUACGCAAGAGCACUCUAAUCAGACUGCCGUUGACAAAACGGAGGAAGGUGGGGACGACGUCAAAUCAUCAUGCCCUUUAUGACCUGGGCUACACACGUACUACAAUGGCCAUUAACAGAGGGAAGCAAGACCGCGAGGUGGAGCAAACCCUAAAAAUGGUCGUCAGUUCGGUAGUCGCAGGCGUGAAACCCGACCCGU